GCGUGUGGCUUAGUGGUAAAAGUAUUCGGUUCACAAUCGAAAGUUUGUAAGUUCGAUUCCUGGCCGCGC
rnacentral:tRNA from 1 species